rnacentral:rRNA from 1 species
UACGUAGGUGGCGAGCGUUAGGCGGAUUCACUGGGCUUAAAGCGUGUGUAGGCGGGCGAUCAAGUCCCUUGUGAAAUCCCACGGCUCAACCGUGGAACCGCUGGGUAUACUGGUUGUCUUGAGCCGGCUAGGGGCGAGCGGAACAGACGGUGUAGCGGUGGAAUGCGCAGAUAUCAGGAGGAACACCGGUGGCGAAGGCGGGUCUCUGGGCCGUGACUGACGCUGAGGAGCGAAAGCGUGGGGAGCGAACAGG